rnacentral:lncRNA from 1 species
AUGGUUCUGUUUGAAAAUUCUCAUGUUGGGCUGCACACAUGGAUGCAUUUAAUAUACAGGUUUGCUCAAGGUCUUCGUUUGCGGCAAGUGGACAUGCUACAGGAAGGGAUAACUGGGAGCUCUGCAACCCUGAGCAAACUUGCUGACAAGAUGCGGAGAGUUUGCAAAUCUGCGAUGAAGAGAAUGAGGAGGAGAGGCAAACAAGCUGUUGGAAGAAGAGGAGAACUCGUUAUGAUCGAUGAAAGCAAAUUUGGCCAUAAAAGAAAGUAUAACAGAGGACGGGCCUGUAACCGAAGUUCAUGGGUGUUCGGAAUGCUAGGCCUCAAGGAUGACAGAAGGAGACCCAUUCUUAAGAUUGUGCGCCACCGUUCAGCAGGCCAUCUCAUGCCCCUUAUAAAGAAGCAUGUUCGACGGGGCAGCUCCAUUAUUUCAGAUGGAUGGAGGUCUUAUCACCAUCUUCAGAAUGAAGGUUAUAAUCAUCUGACUGUGAACCAUCAGGAAUAUUUUGUCGACCCCAUUACAGGUGCACAUACACAGAACCUGGAACGUCUUUGGGGUGUUUGCAAGUCAACUAUAUGGAGACUAAGAGGGAACCGCACUCAAAAUAUGUUGAAAGAUCACUUAGAUGUAAUUGAGUGGACCUACUGGCGUGGAAACCAAUACAAAGAUGGACCACUAGGAAUGCUGUUACAUGACAUUAAGAAAAAAUAUCCUGUGAGAAAUGCAUGAGUCCUGUACUAUACUGUUCAUAAUGCGAGUUCAUACAACCAUUACAUUUUUUUUGGAUUGAUUCACUCUGGAUGUCUUCUUUACAUUUUUGGAAUUUAAAACUUUGUAGAAGGGAAGGGAAC